UCCUGGGUAGCUCAGUGGUAGAGCGACCGGCUGUUAACCGGUUGGUCGGGGGUUCGAGUCCCUCCCCAGGAGCCA
rnacentral:tRNA from 1 species